rnacentral:rRNA from 1 species
AGUCACUGACAUUAGAUACCCGUGUAGUCCCAGCCGUAAACUAUGCUCGCUAGGUGUCAGGGACGGUGCGACCGUUUCUGGUGCCGCAGGGAAGCCGUGAAGCGAGCCACCUGGGAAGUACGGUCGUAAGGCUGAAACUUAAAGGAAUUGGCGGGGGAGCACAACAACGGGUGGAGCUUGCGGUUUAAUUGGAUUCAACGCCGGAAAUCUUACCGGGACCGACAGCAACAUGAAGGCCAAGCUGAAGACUUUGCCGGAUUAGCUG